GUGCUUGGUUCGGCAGCACAUAUACUAAAAUUGGAAAGAUACAGAGAAGAUUAGGAUGGCACCUGCACAAGGAUGACAUGCAAAGUCAUGAAGCGAAAAUCUUUUUC